CGGGCUGGACCUCUCGGGGUUACAGCCUUGCUGAAUUAUUCACCCUUGUCUUUUGCGUACUUCUUGUUUCCUUGGUGGGUUCGCCCACCACUAGGACAAACAUAAACCUUUUGUAAUUGCAAUCAGCGUCAGUAACAAAUUAAUAAUUACAACUUUCAACAACGGAUCUCUUGGUUCUGGCAUCGAUGAAGAACGCAGCGAAAUGCGAUAAGUAGUGUGAAUUGCAGAAUUCAGUGAAUCAUCGAAUCUUUGAACGCACAUUGCGCCCUUUGGUAUUCCAAAGGGCAUGCCUGUUCGAGCGUCAUUUGUACCCUCAAGCUUUGCUUGGUGUUGGGCGUCUUGUCUCUAGCUUUGCUGGAGACUCGCCUUAAAGUAAUUGGCAGCCGGCCUACUGGUUUCGGAGCGCAGCACAAGUCGCACUCUCUAUCAGCAAAGGUCUAGCAUCCAUUAAGCCUUUUUUUCAACUUUUGACCUCGGAUCAAGUAGGGAUACCCGCUGAACUUAAGCAU
rnacentral:rRNA from 1 species